rnacentral:lncRNA from 1 species
CUAGGGUUGAAUGACGCGCUGCAGGGAGGAGUAUCAAGGAACUUUUUACAGCUGACUGCAUGCAUAGGGUCUCGUCCGUACUCCGUUGGUGAUUUUUUUUUUGGGUGGGGGGUCGGUGAAAUAUUGUUUUUGACACAUCCUUGCGUGUUGUGGCAAGGUCUGUCUCAAGGACAGGACAAUCCAGAGGAAAACAAAUAGAAGUUUC